rnacentral:rRNA from 1 species
CAAUAGCGUAUACUAAUGUUGUUGCAGUUAAAAAGCUCGUAGUUGAACUUCUGGUAGGAGUGUCCCGGCCUUUUUGUUUUUACAAAUUGUAUGCUGUGUGACAUCUCUGGCCAUCCUUCUUCUUUGUUUAAAGAAGAUCUUUCACUGUAAAAAAAUUAGGGUGUUCAAAGCAAAAGUUUCUUUGGAAUAUAUUAGUAUGGGAUGAUAAGAUAGGCUCCAGAUGCUAUUUUGUUGGUUUGCACAUUUAGAGAAUGAUUAACAGGGACAGUUGGGGGUAUUCGUAUUUACAUGUCAGAGGUGAAAUUCUUGGAUUUUGGAAAGACGAACUACUGCGAAAGCAUUUACCAAGGAUGUUUUCAUUAA